UGUGGGAGCGAGCUUGCUCGCGAUAGCGGUGUGUCAGUCAGCAUUUUUAUAUCUGAUCCACCGCCAUCGCGAGCAAGCUCGCUCCCACA
rnacentral:misc_RNA from 1 species